AACGAACGCUGGCGGCGCGCCUAAUACAUGCAAGUCGAGCGAGAAGACGUAGCAAUACGUUUGUAAAGCGGCGAACGGGUGAGGAAUACAUGGGUAACCUACCCUAGAGUGGGGAAUAACUAGCCGAAAGGUUAGCUAAUACCGCGUACGCUCCUUGGACUUCGGUUCAGGGAGGAAAGCGAUACCGAGGGUAUCGCGCUCUUGGAUGGGCUCAUGUCCUAUCAGCUUGUUGGGAGGUAACGGCUCACCAAGGCUUCGACGGGUAGCUGGUCUGAGAGGACGAUCAGCCACACUGGCACUGCGACACGGGCCAGACUCCUACGGGAGGCAGCAGUAAGGAAUAUUGCGCAAUGGGCGAAAGCCUGACGCAGCGACGCCGCGUGGGGGAUGAAGGUCUUCGGAUUGUAAACCCCUUUCGGGAGGGAAGAUGGAACGAGCAAUCGUUCGGACGGUACCUCCAGAAGCAGCCACGGCUAACUUCGUGCCAGCAGCCGCUGUAAC
rnacentral:rRNA from 1 species